rnacentral:rRNA from 1 species
AGGAUGAACGCUGGCGGCAUGCCUAACACAUGCAAGUCGAACGGUCCUUUUAGGACAGUGGCGGACGGGUGAGUAACACGUUGGUACCUUCCCCGGAGUGGGGAUAAUUCGCCGAAAGGCGGACUAAUACCCCAUGGUCUUGCACUUGUUGCAAGUAAAGAUUUAUUGCUCUGGGAUGGGCCUGCGGUUGAUUAGCUUGUUGGUGAGGUAAUGGCUCACCAAGGCGACGAUCAAUAGCUGGAUCGAGAGGUUGACCAGCCACACUGGGACUGAGAUACGGCCCAGACUCCUACGGGAGGCAGCAGUGAGGAAUUUUCCGCAAUGGGCGAAAGCCUGACGGAGCAAUGCCGCGUGAAGGAAGAAGCCUUUCGGGGUGUAAACUUCUUUAUCAGGGAAGAAGACAUGACGGUACCUGAUGAAUAAGCAUCGGCUAACUACGCGCCAGCAGCCGC